rnacentral:rRNA from 1 species
GACGCUGGCGGCGUGCUUAACACAUGCAAGUCGAACGGUGAACCAGAGCUUGCUCUGGGGAUCAGUGGCGAACGGGUGAGUAACACGUGGGCAACCUGCCCCAGACUCUGGGAUAACCUCGGGAAACCGAUGCUAAUACCGGAUACGACCACUUCGGACAUCCGACGGUGGUGGAAAGUUUUUCGGUCUGGGAUGGGCCCGCGGCCUAUCAGCUAGUUGGUGGGGGUAAUGGCCUACCAAGGCGACGACGGGUAGCCGGCCUGAGAGGGCGACCGGCCACACUGGAACUGAGACACGGUCCAGACUCCUACGGGAGGCAGCAGUGGGGAAUAUUGCACAAUGGGCGAAGCCUGAUGCAGCGACGCCGCGUGAGGGACGACGGCCUUCGGGUUGUAAACCUCUUUCAGCAGGGACGAAGCGAAAGUGACUGUACCUGCAGAAGAAGCACCGGCUAACUACGUG